rnacentral:lncRNA from 1 species
CAAUAUCGGGGGAAAGGUACAAUAAGCUGGAGAGAAGUAAUAGUGUGUUAUUUGGGGGGCAAUUUUCUAUUCAUGUUUCUUAUUUUGAUCAUUUCUUUUGUUUAUGCCCUGGUAGCCUAGCUGCUUGAGGCCAGCUACCCCCCUGGCCUUUUAGUGUCCUUGAAGGAGACCAGGCCUCAAGUGAGCACAGGGAGUGUCCACAUGGUUUCAGAAAUUUAACAGAGACCAAUCCUUGCUGCCCAUUUGUCAGGCCAGGUGAAAGGGCCAGACAUUUGCUGGUAGUGAUGUAAAUAUUUUGUACAUUAAAUAAAUGUCUAAAAGAAGAAC